rnacentral:lncRNA from 1 species
GAAGCAAUAAAAAAUUAUGUUCCACAAACCUAAGUCAUUCUCCACCAUUUUUGAGCAACUUGACAGCUAUUUGGGAGAAGUUGAAUAGGGUCUCGACUAGGAUUUCUUGGAGGUAAGACCUAUGAACUAAAAACAUGAUUAUUAAGUGAAAUUAAGUGUGAAAUUCAUGGAAACUUGGCUAAAGUGGGAAGAACUACGGCUUGAGUUUUUUUGAAAAUUUAAAUUGGGAUUUGAAGGGCCAUUAAAGCUUAGAUUUGAGAGUUGUUGAUAUGUAUAGACUCGUGGUGAGAUAAGGAACCCGUAGAUGUAAAAUUAUCUGAGUUUUGAGAAGUGGGCCAUUGUCUCGAGUUUUGCCAAUUUCGAGAUUUGUGAUAUUUUCCGAUUGGGUAUUAUUUUCUUGGCACAUUGUGACAUAUUCAUUGUGAUUUUGGAUAGAUUCGACCGGUGUGGAGGCUGAUUUAAAGGUCAAAGGCGCCGCAAGCUGGAGAAUUUGCCGGAUCGAGGUGAGUAAUAAAUUUAAAUGAUGUCCUGAGGGUUUGAAACCAUGGAUUUACACGUCGUAGUGCUAUAUCGAGAUGACUUGCAUGCCGGGUAGCGAGAGUGGGGUAGAGCACCGUUUUGGAUUGUGACUUGGUCUGUCCCAGUAGAUGAUUAUAUUGCAUAUUUAACUGAAAUUCAUUUAUUAUUAUUAUUAUUAUUAUUAUUUUUAUUUUAUUAUUAUUAUAUUAUUAUUAUAAUUUGAGCCGAUUGCUAUAUUUGGACUUCAUGCUAAUUGAUUGAAUCCUUCAAGGAAUGCUAUUACUGGGUUUUUACCAUUUUUAUGAAUUAUUAAACUCAGUCUUGGUAUGUAAUAUUAUUUUAAACUCAGCUACCUUUACUCAACUUGAAACGUAAAUAAUAUAUUUUAAUGAUGUUUGGGCUGAAUAUUUAUAUAUUAGUGUGUCCGAGGGGCUUAUGUGAUUUUGGACUGAGUAUUUGAUUGGUUUGCGUGCCACAACGAUAUUAUAUUUACAUUGACAUGAGGCCAAGGGCCUAGUUGAUGCAAAAAGAUGGCUUAUAUUUCAGUUGGGUCGUAAGGGUCCCCUACAAGAGUCUGCACACCCCAGUGAGUGCCAUCGACGAUAAAUAAAUGGAGCGGGCUGCACGUUGCGGCGGGUACUUGGGAGUACGGGACUAUACGUUGCAUUUCAUACUAGAUUGUCAUUUAGUUACUUUUCUGUUGUAUUAUUUCUAUAAAUAUUUGUUAUUGGUUUACCGAUUUAAUACUAUUUGGUUCAGGUUGUUGUAUUAAUAGAAUUACUUUGUGCCUAUUCAGGAUUUUUUAUUCUCAGCCUUUAUUUAUGUUUAUUACUCACUGGGUCGGAGUACUCACAUUACUCCAUACACAUUGCAUGCAGAUCCAGGUACAUCUGAGGUUGAGUUAGGAUUUCUCUAUCGAGCAGCUUAUCCGGGAGUAUCAAGGUAGAUGCAUGACAUCCGCAGUCCUGAUCUUCCUUCUACCUUAUUUGCAUUUCUUUAGAACAAUAUGCAGUAGAUUGAUACUUAGGUAUUAGAGGCUCAAACUUGUGACACCGGAUUCUUUGGGAUGUGUAGUAGUAUUAGUAUUUGGGUUUUCCGCAUGUCUUAACUAUAUUUCAGGCUUUCGGUAUUAUGACUUAGUAAUUUAUCUGUGUUAAUUAGGUCGGAGUACUCACUUUUUACUCCCUCUACCUUGUGUGCAGAUCCAGGAACAUUUGAGGCUGAGUGAAGACUUCUCUACCGAGCACCUUAUUCGGGAGUAUCAAGG